AUUGAACGCUGGCGGCAGGCCUAACACAUGCAAGUCGAACGAGUGGCGGACGGGUGAGUAAUGUCUGGGAAACUGCCAGAUGGAGGGGGAUAACUACUGGAAACGGUAGCGAAUACCGCAUACCAUCGGAUGUGCCCAGAUGGGAUUAGCUAGUAGGUGGGGUAACGUCUCAACUCGGGGACGAUCCCUAGCUGGUCUGAGAGGAUGACCAGCCAACCUGUAACGGAGACACGGUCCAGACUCCUACGGGAGGCAGCAGUGGGGAAUAUUGCACAAUGGGCGCAAGCCUGAUGCAGCCAUGCCGCGUGUAUGAAGAAGGCCUUCGGGUUGUAAAGUACUUUCAGCGAGGAGGCGUUACUCGCAGAAGAAGCACCGGCUAACUCCGUGCCAGCCGCCGCGGUAAUUC
rnacentral:rRNA from 1 species